rnacentral:lncRNA from 1 species
CCAGGCAUUGGGAGCAAAAGAACCCUCACAAGCCUAGAAAACCAGAAACAGCUUCUUCCAGAGGGACAAAUACUACUAGAGGGAGCCUUGCCCAUCAGCUGGAACACACAGCCCAAAUACUAAAGAGUCAGAGACUGUAUCAUCACCACAGGCAGAAGAAAGGACAAACUGCU